GCAGUUGGAAGAGAUUGAGGCUGCUGAUGCCAACAAGGAGGUCGUGUCAAUGAGCCAUAGAGGAGGAGUUUUUCAAUGUGAGUACUUAAAUCAUAAGACUAUGUAAGCUUUGUUACUUCAUGCAAUUCUGUUUUGUAAUUUUUUUUCGUACAGAGACGAGACAUGAUGACCGUGUGAUUGUAAGCUCAGAGGAUAGUGAUAUUGAGAAUGCGCUACAAUAGCAGUUCAUAAGCAAUUUGGCGUAAGACGAUUUGUAAUUACAACUAUUUUCUUCGCAAUUUUACUGAUCUACAUCUACCAAAUUAAUUGUCUUUGCAAUUCUUCUUCUUCCUUUGUUUCUCUCGAAACAAAAUGGUGAUGGUCAUGGUGGAUUGGAUUUACAAGUGAUUUUCCUUGGUCUUUUGUUGAUAGAGGUCUCAGUUGUUCCCUGAAAAUGACCAGGUAUUUUCUUUCAUUUGAGUUCUCUCUAAAGAUUUCCAAAAUGUCAUGCUUUCAUUGAUAGGUCUCUAACUUCUGAAUUGAAGUUUGGCUUCAAUGUAGUUGAGUAGUCUGCUGCUGUUUGGGCCAUGAGAAUUCAGUACAUAUGAUAAUCUAUUAUUCGAUUAGUUAUUGAUAUAAAACCCAUUGGUUCAUAAAACAUGAAAAAACUGAAUAACAUUUUUUGUUAAACUUCCUAUAUAUGUUACUUCUUUAACACUUAUAGCAUGCAAUGAGUUUAUUUUCCAAUUUGUAUGUUCAGCUUAGCCAAGUUGAGAUUGUAGCAAAUAACAUUGUUUAGUUGUCACUGUCUUUCGUCAAUGACUUUCUUGCCUCAAAUACUGUCUUCCGCAGUGUUUCACAUUACUGAUCCAAGGUUAGCACGAGGGAUCCUAGGUAUGCCCCUUUUAUUGUAUCAGCUGAAAUUAAAGUGGCAUUCAUAGAGAAAAGUAACAAGGAACUUGCUUUUAUCACUUUGAUACAAAAUGACAUUCCAUUUUGCAUUCUAGAGUGUAUGUUGAGAGUGUUGUGGAUUUGCAAAAAGAAAAUUUCAAAGUUAUUUAUAAACCGGUUUCUUUUUGGUAUUGCAUUCUUUCUUAUUUUUUACUCAUUGUUAUAUAGUUUGCAUAAAAGUGUGGUGGGUUCUCAAAAUUGUUUUCUCUAAACUGGUAAUUUUUUUUGUCUUAUUUUUCUUAGACUGGUAUUCUCUACAUUUAGAUUGUUAGAUUGUAUCGUUUUUUAGUUUUCACUUUUGAAAGGUCUCUUGCAUAUACCUUAACAGUAUUGCAUAUGAAGUAUGGUGUGUGACCUCUUGAUGCCUUCUGUGUUUUGACAUGUAGAUGAGAAGGUUUUAGAUUGUUCCAAAUUGGUCAGCAUAAUGUUAAUAACCUUAUGCUAUGAUUGAAUGUGAUGUACAGGAAACAAAGAGGAAGAAGCAGCCAAUGUGGAUGAUCUUUUUCUUGAAGGGACUUGCAGCAACCAAUUCAGAGAAAGAGGAUUUGGAAGUGUUUAUAGGGGAUCAGUUUUGGGAUGAAAAACAAGACCUUAUGAUAAGGAAGAGCUUGCAGCAACAUCGUAUCAUUUUGCUACUGGAAAGAUCAGCUUUUAUUACCAGAAUGAAUUUGAUCUAAUGAAUGCUGUAACAAAAGAAGAAUACGUAGCCUCCCUAUAAAGGUAUUUAUUUUCAUCUGUAAUUGAUGAGCAUUGAUUUCGCUCUUUGCAACAGUUUUCAUUUCAAGCAAGGGGCAAUGUUUCUUUU